GAUGAAGAACGUAGCGAAAUGCGAUAAGUAAUGUGAAUUGCAGAAUUCAGUGAAUCAUCGAAUCUUUGAACGCACAUUGCGCCCCCUGGUAUUCCGGGGGGCAUGCCUGUUCGAGCGUCAUUUCACCACUCAAGCCUCGCUUGGUAUUGGGCAACGCGGUCCGCCGCGUGCCUCAAAUCGACCGGCUGGGUCUUCUGUCCCCUAAGCGUUGUGGAAACUAUUCGCUAAAGGGUGCUCGGGAGGCUACGCCGUAAAACGCCCAACUUUCUUAGAGUUGACCUCGGAUCAGGUAGGAAUACCCGCUGAACUUAAGCAUAUCAAUAAGCGGAGGA
rnacentral:misc_RNA from 1 species